UACAGAGGAUGCAAGCGUUAUCCGGAAUGAUUGGGCGUAAAGCGUCUGUAGGUGGCUUUUUAAGUCCGCCGUCAAAUCCCAGGGCUCAACUCUGGACAGGCGGUGGAAACUACCAAGCUGGAGUACGGUAGGGGCAGAGGGAAUUUCCGGUGGAGCGGUGAAAUGCGUAGAGAUUGGGAAGAACAUCAGUGGCGAAAGCGCUCUACUGGACCUUAUCUGACAUUGAGGGACGAAAGCUAGGGGAGCGAAUGGG
rnacentral:rRNA from 1 species